UCCUGGUUAGCUCAGUUGGUAGAGCGCUCUAUUGACAAUGAAGAGAUCUCUGAUUCAUACCAGGACCAGGCG
rnacentral:tRNA from 1 species